rnacentral:rRNA from 1 species
AUUGAACGCUAGCGGGAUGCUUUACACAUGCAAGUCGAACGGCAGCGCGGACUUCGGUCUGGCGGCGAGUGGCGAACGGGUGAGUAAUGUAUCGGAACGUGCCCAGUAGCGGGGGAUAACUACGCGAAAGCGUAGCUAAUACCGCAUACGCCCUACGGGGGAAAGCAGGGGAUCGUAAGACCUUGCACUAUUGGAGCGGCCGAUAUCGGAUUAGCUAGUUGGUGAGGUAUCGGCUCACCAAGGCGACGAUCCGUAGCUGGUUUGAGAGGACGACCAGCCACACUGGGACUGAGACACGGCCCAGACUCCUACGGGAGGCAGCAGUGGGGAAUUUUGGACAAAGGGGGCAACCCUGAUCCAGCCAUCCCGCGUGUGCGAUGAAGGCCUUCGGGUUGUAAAGCACUUUUGGCAGGAAAGAAACGUCGCGGGCUAAUACCCCGUGGAACUGACGGUACCUGCAGAAUAAGCACCGGCUAACUACGUG